GACGAACGCUGGCGGCGUGCUUAACACAUGCAAGUCGAACGAUGAACUACGGGUUUACCUGUGGGGAUUAGUGGCGAACGGGUGAGUAACACGUGAGUAACCUGCCCUUAACUCUGGGAUAAGCAUUGGAAACGGUGUCUAAUACUGGAUAGGACUUGCCUCGGCAUCGGGGUGAGUGGAAAGUUUUUCGGUUAGGGAUGGACUCGCGGCCUAUCAGCUUGUUGGUGAGGUAGUGGCUUACCAAGGCGAUGACGGGUAGCCGGCCUGAGAGGGUGAUCGGCCACACUGGGACUGAGACACGGCCCAGACUCCUACGGGUGGCAG
rnacentral:rRNA from 1 species